rnacentral:lncRNA from 1 species
UCUAUUCCUUGUUUCCAAAGUCAAUGUUAGGAUCUGUUGUUUUAUAGAAAUCCAGCAUAUUUUAAAAACUUUUAGAAAAAAAAUCUAAUUAAGACUAUUACAAAAUAUUUUAAAUUUUAACAGAUUAGAGAUAUUCUUGGAAUCGGAAAAAAUAAGGAAAAGAAUGAGAAGAGUGAGUACCAAAAGUUCAUCAAAUUGAUGGGAGGUAUCGCACUGGCACCCUGAGUUCAAGACUGGUCAACACCACUUUGACAUUAUUUACCUCAAUAAAUUAGGCACCCACCGAUUGUCAAAAAGAAAGAAAAGAACAAGAAAGGCAAGUCAUUCGAUAUAACAUAAUCAUAUUUUAUAUCCACUUCUUGUCAGCAACUUCUGCUGCAAUUUCAUUACUUCCAUCAAACAUGAGAAAAUUCUC